GACGAACCGAGCGAACGUUGUUCGGAAUCACUGGGCUUAAAGGGCGCGUAGGCGGGCUGUCAAGUCUGGGGUGAAAUCCCGCGGCUCAACCGUGGAACUGCCUUAGAUACUGACGGCCUUGAGGGAGAUAGGGGCGAGCGGAACUGUGAGUGGAGCGGUGAAAUGCGUUGAUAUCGAUAGGAACUCCGGUGGCGAAGGCGGCAUACUGGUCCACUUCUGACGCUGAGGCGCGAAAGCCAGGGGAGCAAACGGG
rnacentral:rRNA from 1 species